rnacentral:rRNA from 1 species
AUUGAACGCUGGCGGCAGGCCUAACACAUGCAAGUCGAGCGGAUGAAGGGAGCUUGCUCCUGGAUUCAGCGGCGGACGGGUGAGUAAUGCCUAGGAAUCUGCCUGGUAGUGGGGGAUAACGUCCGGAAACGGGCGCUAAUACCGCAUACGUCCUGAGGGCGAAAGUGGGGGAGCUUCGGACCUCACGCUAUCAGAUGAGCCUAGGUCGGAUUAGCUAGUUGGUGGGGUAAAGGCCUACCAAGGCGACGAUCCGUAACUGGUCUGAGAGGAUGAUCAGUCACACUGGAACUGAGACACGGUCCAGACUCCUACGGGAGGCAGCAGUGGGGAAUAUUGGACAAUGGGCGAAAGCCUGAUCCAGCCAUGCCGCGUGUGUGAAGAAGGUCUUCGGAUUGUAAAGCACUUUUAGUUGGGAGGAAGGGCAGUAAGUUAAUACCUUGCUGUUUUGACGUUACCAACAGAAUAAGCACCGGCUAACUUCGUG